AGAGUUUGAUCAUGGCUCAGAACGAACGCUGGCGGCGCGCCUAAUACAUGCAAGUCGAGCGAGAAGACGUAGCAAUACGUUUGUAAAGCGGCGAACGGGUGAGGAAUACAUGGGUAACCUACCCUCGAGUGGGGAAUAACUAGCCGAAAGGUUAGCUAAUACCGCAUACGACUCCUGGUCUGCGGAUCGGGAGGGAAAGCGAUACCGUGGGUAUCGCGCUCUUGGAUGGGCUCAUGUCCUAUCAGCUUGUUGGUGAGGUAAUGGCUCACCAAGGCUUCGACGGGUAGCUGGUCUGAGAGGACGAUCAGCCACACUGGCACUGCGACACGGGCCAGACUCCUACGGGAGGCAGCAGUAAGGAAUAUUGCGCAAUGGGCGACAGCCUGACGCAGCGACGCCGCGUGGGGGAUGAAGGUCUUCGGACUGUAAACCCCUUUCGGCAGGGAAGAUGGAACGGGUAACCGUUCGGACGGUACCUGCAGAAGCAGCCACGGCUAACUUCGUGCCAGCAGCCGCGGUAAUACGAAGGUGGCAAGCGUUGUUCGGAUUUACUGGGCGUACAGGGAGCGUAGGCGGUUGGGUAAGCCCUCCGUGAAAUCUCCGGGCCUAACCCGGAAAGUGCGGAGGGGACUGCUCGGCUAGAGGAUGGGAGAGGAGCGCGGAAUUCCCGGUGUAGCGGUGAAAUGCGUAGAGAUCGGGAGGAAGGCCGGUGGCGAAGGCGGCGCUCUGGAACAUUUCUGACGCUGAGGCUCGAAAGCGUGGGGAGCAAACAGGAUUAGAUACCCUGGUAGUCCACGCCCUAAACGAUGGAUACUAAGUGUCGGCGGGUUACCGCCGGUGCCGCAGCUAACGCAUUAAGUAUCCCGCCUGGGAAGUACGGCCGCAAGGUUGAAACUCAAAUGAAUUGACGG
rnacentral:rRNA from 1 species